CUCGGUUCUCUUCCCUCAGCGUGUGGGAAGGCGGUUUGGUUUGGUCUGUAGCUCAGGGCUGCGCUUUGAACACCUUCAAGAGAAGGAAAAAUAAAGCCACGCAGAAAAGCAAUCUUGUGCAACACAAAAAUCGGCUUCGGGGCUGCAGCGUCAGUGAAUACGGAGUAACCAAUAAAGAUCUGGCUAUUAAAGAACAGCACAGUCAUGAAAAGGAGUUCAGCUGAUGCUUCAACCCGCAGCACAGCAGGUUGUUUGCCUGUGCCUCUCUUCAAUCAGAAGAAGAGAACCAGGCAGCCCCUCACUUCAAAUCCUCUGAAGAAUGAGCCAGGCUCCAGUUCUGCCACUCAUGACUCUUUUUCCUCAUCACUGGGCUGGGGAGCUGCAAACCCAGAAGUUGAUGAACUACAGAAGGCAGCAAAUGAAGGAGUAGAUGAUCACAUGGCUCCUUCUCUUAUGAAACCACCAAAUGCAUCAAAGUCUAAUUCAGUCAAAGCUGGAAGAAACUUGUAUGCCUUCAGGACAGAAGAGAAGACUCCCAGAACUAAAAUUUGGAACAGAAAUGAGUGUACUCCUGCAAGUAACAGAACAGGUUCAAAUUCUGACAGUGGAGCUACUCAAAAGUUUGAGAACCGUUCAAAUAAUUGGAAAACUGUUCAGCAGCAGAAAAUGCCUGAUAGCUCUAAUGCAUCUCAGCAUAUCAGAACACCAGAAACUAGUCAAACACAUUCCACAAAAGGACAGUGGCCAGUGAAACCUAACACUACAUCAAGAAAUCUGCAGGAUUCUGGUCUGGCAUAUAAAUUUAAUAGCAAUAGUCAGCAAAAUAGCAUGAAUGAAAAGCAGUUCGAUUGUGUUCCGGAAGACAAAAGUCAGGAUAUUUCUUCAUUUCAACUGAAACUUAAAGAAAAAAGGAAUUCUUUGCGUAUCAUAUCUGCAGUCAUUGAAAGCAUGAAGCACUGGAGCCAGUAUACUUACAAAACUGCACUAUUAUUUGAAGUUUUAGGCACGCUUGAUUCUGCGGUCACAUCUGGAGCGUACGGAGCCAAGAAUUUUCUUUUGAGAGAUGGAACGGAGAGCCUGCCUUGUGUUUUUUAUGAAAUUGACAUCAUCAGCUGAGAUCUCACCAGUUAACUCACAGCCACUGCUGAGUGCAAGGCAGUUUAUAGUCAAGUCCACGUGCAUCAGUUCAACUGUAUGAAUUCUGAGUUUCUCCUGGGAGAGCAGAUGACCCUGUUAACGUGUGAGAGUGCCAGAGAUGCUGUGCCCUCCAGGCUGGAAGGUCAGGAAAGUGGAGCCAGUUUUUAAGCUCAACCUUUAGCUUGUAAUAAAAAAGUCUUAUUUCUCAUCCCUUACACACAGCCUUUAGUUAGCAUUUAUA
rnacentral:lncRNA from 1 species